AGCAGUCGCCGCGGUAAUACGAAGGGUGCAAGCGUUACUCGGAAUUACUGGGCGUAAAGCGUGCGUAGGUGGUGGUUUAAGUCCGUUGUGAAAGCCCUGGGCUCAACCUGGGAAUUGCAGUGGAUACUGGGUCACUAGAGUGUGGUAGAGGAUAGUGGAAUUUCCGGUGUAGCAGUGAAAUGCGUAGAGAUCGGAAGGAACAUCUGUGGCGAAGGCGACUAUCUGGGCCAACACUGACACUGAGGCACGAAAGCGAGGGGAGCAAACAGGAUUAGAUACCCCAGUAGUCCCUGUCUCUUAUAC
rnacentral:rRNA from 1 species